AGAGAGACUAAAGUGUUGCGAAACAAGGAGAUUCCUCUUGUUAAGGUUCAGUGGGAUGCGACACAUCCGGGUGAUGCUACAUGGGAACUUGAAUCAGAAAUGCGGGAUGCUUACCCUCACCUUUUCAGAUUCUAGAGAGAAGGAGUAGAGAGAAGGAGGAGCAAGAAGAGAAAGAGGAAAGCUUGGAUUUCGAUCAUUUCUCCGCCGAUUCAACUCAUCUUCGACAUCAGCGACUCGUAAUCGAGGUACUACAGGUUCCGCGAAGGGUAAGGAGAAAGCAGUUUGAUUUCCUUAUUCCUUAUGCUUAUUUUGGACAUGGCGAAGCUUCCGUUGUG